rnacentral:rRNA from 1 species
GCAGUCGAACGCUUCUUUUUCACCGGAGCUUGCUCCCCGGAAAAAGAGGAGUGGCGAACGGGUGAGUAACACGUGGGUAACCUGCCCAUCAGAAGGGGAUAACACUUGGAAACAGGUGCUAAUACCGUAUAACAAUCAAAACCGCAUGGUUUUGAUUUGAAAGGCGCUUUCGGGUGUCGCUGAUGGAUGGACCCGCGGUGCAUUAGCUAGUUGGUGAGGUAACGGCUCACCAAGGCCACGAUGCAUAGCCGACCUGAGAGGGUGAUCGGCCACAUUGGGACUGAGACACGGCCCAAACUCCUACGGGAGGCAGCAGUAGGGAAUCUUCGGCAAUGGACGAAAGUCUGACCGAGCAACGCCGCGUGAGUGAAGAAGGUUUUCGGAUCGUAAAACUCUGUUGUUAGAGAAGAACAAGGAUGAGAGUAACUGUUCAUCCCUUGACGGUAUCUAACCAGAAAGCCACGGCUAACUACGUGCCAGCAGCCGCGGUAAUACGUAGGUGGCAAGCGUUGUCCGGAUUUAUUGGGCGUAAAGCGAGCGCAGGCGGUUUCUUAAGUCUGAUGUGAAAGCCCCCGGCUCAACCGGGGAGGGUCAUUGGAAACUGGGAGACUUGAGUGCAGAAGAGGAGAGCGGAAUUCCAUGUGUAGCGGUGAAAUGCGUAGAUAUAUGGAGGAACCCAGUGGCGAAGCGGCUCUCUGGCUGUAACUGACGCGAGGCUCGAAGCGUGAGAGCAACAGGAU